GUGAAUCAUCAAAUUUUUGAACGCAAAUUGCACUCUCCUCGGAGAGUAUGCCUGUUUGAGGGUCAGCCUAUAAAAAAUCGACAUCGUUGCUGUUUCGCGGUUGCGUGCGUCGGAGAUGGGGUCAUGUUAUAUUUUUUUGUUUUAAGCGACUUAAAAUUUUUUUUUUGGUUUCAGGAACGUUUCUAAGUUUUAUUUCUUUACACGUUAAAGAUAUCUUUUUUUGUUAGACGUGUCCAUCAUAUCG
rnacentral:misc_RNA from 1 species